AGGAGAAGAUAUAGAUAUAAUUCAUCAGGAAGGGAGGCAAAUAAAUGAAUAAGGGCUGAUUUAACAAACUUCAUUUUUCCCUAUAGUGCGAUUGAAUGGGAAUUGUAUGCAUACAAUUUUAAAAUGAUUUAGAUGUGUAAUAGUAAUCGUCCAAGUAAUGUGACCUCCAGAUUAAAUUCUGUAAACAAAAUUUUGUUUAACCAAAGAAGUUGAAAUUGAUGUACAAUUUUUCAUAUAUAAUAACAUGUGUCAUUAAUUAUUUCAUUUAUAUUUAAUAGCAACAGAGUUUCUCAAAAAUGGAAGAAAUUCCAAGUAGAGAAAGAUCAGAAGAGAGAGCCCCUUACAGCCAGAUCAUCAACACAGACCAAAGAAGAAAGCGGGAAAGAAGAUAGUAACGUCCCGUUACCUGAACCACAAAGCAGAAUCCAUCAUAAAAAAGCAACCAACAGCUCCAGCCAAAGCCUCCAAUGCCCAGAAAAGAAUCUCGAUCUUACCACAGACGCAGGGUUCGGGAACACCUAUGAGAUGAUAUUGAGUUGGUGAGGGGGAAAAGAGAGACAUCAGAAACACCGAAUCUCAAGAAAUCUCGUUCCCUUGGCGGGAGCCUAAAAAAACUGUUUCGUCGGGGCCGGAAACAGACGAGAUCACGGGGAGAAACUUCCAGGGAGAGUUCAUUUUCUCGUUCCUCAACACGCAAUGUCUCACAAGGCCCGUCUAGAGAGGGGUCAUUAAAUAGAAAUGUUGACCCAAAGGAUAUGCAAUAUCAACAGACUUUAAUUUCAUAGCAUUUGUUCAACUGUAUACAUUAUGAGAAAUUUUGUAUUUUCAUACAGCGUUUGUAAAAUUACUCAAAGUCUAAAAAGCAAUUUUAAAACAAUUCUCCUAGUAACUUUUUCUUCAUUUAAUUACAAGUAAAAAUAUGAAGUGAUAAUAAACAUCAAAAAGAAACGUAUUGGAUAUUUUCGGAAUAGCAAUCUAUUCAUUGUUUACAUAUGAAAGCUGAGAACCAGUUUCAUGAAAAGAUAUGAACCUUCAUCUUAGCAGGCUGGUUUAUACAUAUAGACUCGUGAGCACAAUCAUGAAUUUUUUUAUUCAGAAUCCAACAGUCAUGGAAACUUCUGCCUAUAUGAAACGAGUACUUUGACAUGUACAUCUUGUUAGGGUCUUCCUUUCAUUUUUUAUAUUUAGUCAGUGUCUAUCUACUUCUGCUUUUAUAAAUAAUUUUUCGUGUUUUUACACAAACAAAAAAAAUCCUUCUAGUUGAUGCAUGCAUUACAAUUCCAAAGACAAAUCACAAUUUUGCAUAUUCUCAGUUGCCGCCCCUUGUCACCUCAAAAUGAACACAAACCAUGUGACACUGUACAAUUACUUCACUACAGACAUUACUCUGUUAUAUGGGAUGUUUGAGCAUAUUAUCUUCACCUUGUAUUUAUGCCUUAAUUAUUGUCCUCGUUGUGAUUUUCCCAUUAAUUUAUUACCUCGUUUUCCAGUGUUUAUUAUUUUAAGUUUGAUUACGGCUCAUGAGCUUUGUAUUUACUUAGCUGAGAGUUUACGUCAUAAUCACGUGACUAUUUAUUAUGUGCCGACAACGCUAAAUACUGCAAAACGCUACCUCCAUAUUGUUCAUGGCUGAGAGAUGGAGAUUUCAAACCUUGUGCACAGUUACAUGUAGUUACAAGUACGCAUGCACUUGUUUCCCUUAAUUUUUGACGAAGACAAAUUGCAACAGACAAAUGUGUUGCAAACCUUCAACAUGGCUGGUUUCAUUUCAAGGUUUUGACAACUACUGAUCCACAGAGAAUGCAAUUUACAUUUCACAGCAUUAAAGCUACACGUUUAUGCUGAAAUGUAGACAGUUUAGUGAGAAGUAGAUGACAUGCCAACAUGAAGAAUUAUUAGACCAUGUGCUGAGUUUUUGGGUGAUUCCCCAACGAUACUUGUACAUGUUUGAAAUCUCAACCUCUCUGACACUAAGAUUAGAUAUAUGUUUUGUAUGCUUUUUGUAUUGUUAGUUUUGAUCAAGCAGGUUUGAUUGACAUGUGUAUAUUCUAUACUGAACGCAAGUUUUUGUUUGGUUUCCUUUUAGCGACCGCUUUUGUUUGGUUCCCUUUUAGCGACUGGUUUUACAAUGUUUAGUGCAGGAUAAAAUUUCAUGUCGAUAUAUGUUCUUGACUCGAUAUUAUUUAGAACAAGUGUGUGUUCAUAUUUGAGAAUUUUGAGCAAUGAAAAAUGGCAUAGUCUGUGCCCCAAAAAAUGCGAAAGAAGAAUUGUGUGUAUAAAGGGCUCUCAGUUCUCUGCUAUAUUUAUAAGGCUUAUCGAUCAAGCUAACAUUUGGUUCUCGGGUCAAUUUUUCCUGUAAAAAAUGCUGCAAGGAGGAUAUAUUUGCUUUGAGUGGAAGAUUAAUGAUGCUACAACAGGAAAUAUACACAGAUCGAAAAAAGACAUGCAAUAAUUUAUCAAUGGCGAUAUCUAAUUAUUUAAAAAGUGUACAGUAGAUUGUAAAUUCAGCCAAAUUAUUGAGUUUCAAGAGUCUUCUGCGUAUUCUGUUUUGAAAAAGAAGUAUUGAACUUCAACAAAGAUUGCAGAAAUGGUCUCCAAAAUUUCACUCUGAUUUUGAUGAUAUCAUCCAUUUGGUUUCUUUUAAAUAUACACAAUUGCCCAUAGCCUAAGAACCAGAUAAUUCCUUUAUGUAGCCUAUAAUUUCAUCCAUAAUGAAAUAUCUCUGUAGGGAUUUACCAAAGGUUGUGCAUUUAUGUGGUCAGUAGAGCUCUGUCCGUGUUAGAAACAUUGAUUAAUUAUGUUUGAAAUCCGAUUUAACUGUAUAAAGAUCAUAAGUGAUUUGUGGAAAUGUUACAAAUUUUAUUUUUAUACACAAAAAGUUUAUUUUUGUCCCUCAAAUAUAUGAUGGAGAAUGCCCUUUCGAAAGUGGGAAGAAACAAUAAGACUAAUGUAUUAAAAUUUUACACAUGUAUAGUUAUAUACACAUUCUGUUAUAAGUUUUAUACUAUCCUUAUGUUUCCUUUAUCAUUUUGGGAGUGCAGAAGUAAUGGAAACUAAUCUCGGGAACAAGAAAAUUAUUGACAUACAUUAUUUUUAGAAACAAAAACAAUCUAUAUUUUAGUCCACUUCUAAAGUGGUGAGUUGUUUGUACGGUGUGAAAAGUGAGUACAAUGUAUACACUUCUGUAAUGUGCAAACCAUGAAGAGAAAUUGUCAAAGCAAAAAAAAAUUUGGUUAGUUUUAUACUCUUAUCCUUGGUGAUACAGCCUUGAGGAAUGCAUAAUGGAAUAGUGGUCCUUUCCAUCCCCUUUUAAAAAUAUUUAGACCCAAUUCAUUGUGAAUGACAAUGCUAAAAUUCAGUUUGCUUCCAGUGAAAUUUAGAACAUUUUGCACUAAAACAGGAUUGAAAAUUUGAUGAGAUACACUAUAUACAUAGAGGAAUAUCUGAUUUCCUCACAUGUUAUAGGACUUAUAUCCUUAUCCCAGAGAUGACUCUGCAAUUUUGAAUGCACUGGUCCACUUAGAAAAUUUUAGGCAAGGUAUAUAUAUGUACACUGAUCAAGGUUGAUGUAUUACAAAUAUCUUUGACAAGCCUUGGUAAUUUUGAUGGCUAAUGAUAUUUAAUCCUUGUGUUUUUGCUUUAAACUGUAAUCACAGGGACUUUUUCAGAUUAGUUUUUGUUGUAAAAAAUAUUCAUCUUUAACAUGACAAUAAUUGGAAUUGAUGUUCAGUAAAGUGUUGUAUCACAAUUUAUCAAACGUUUUUCAACAACGACAUUUUAGACUAGUGCUCUAACAUUUGUUUUCCUUAUUUAAGGCCAAUAUGUAGAUGUUGGGUGUCUUGCCAAUGCAUGUGUAGAAGAUUUGAUCUUUGUAUGUGAGUGUGUGUAGGACCAAGAUAGGUGAAAUAAAAUGCUACACUGAUAAA